UACGGGGGGAGCAAGCGUUGUUCGGAUUUACUGGGCGUAAAGGGCGCGUAGGCGGUCGUGACAAGUCACUUGUGAAAUCUCCGGGCUUAACUCGGAACGGUCAAGUGAUACUGUCGGACUAGAGUACAGAAGGGGCAACUGGAAUUCUCGGUGUAGCGGUGAAAUGCGUAGAUAUCGAGAGGAACACCUGCGGCGAAGGCGGGUUGCUGGGCUGAUACUGACGCUGAGGCGCGAAAGCUAGGGGAGCAAACAGG
rnacentral:rRNA from 1 species